UCUUCAUUAGCUGGAACAGACGUCUUAACGAAGGCACAGGCAAAGAGCGAACAAGCUUUCAGCAUGCUCUUCCUCACUAGUCUUUAUUUGGAUCAUCAAAAGCCCCUCAGCCAUCCUAUUUUGAACCUGAUUUGGGAAAGAUCUCACUUCUUGGAUGGCGAUGACAGGUCUCGUGGGGAUCUGUGUGAGCAGCUGCGGGGAGGGCCUCUCAUGGAGGGACACAGCUUCAGGAGGAGGGGGAGGCCUUGGCAGUCCAGCAGUCUCACUGCCUGCUUCCUGCUGAACAGCUCCUCCAGACUUCAUCCCAGAGCUCUCCAAGGCUUCAGAACAAUUAAAUUCCAGAACCCUUCCUAUCUUUGACCACCGCAUGUCAAACCAGCCUGUUGUCAAUUAGAUCUAGCAACCUCUGUACUGUUGCCAUGUAAAGCUAUGAAAUUCUGCUCAGCAGGGUAAGGAAAUGAUUCUGUCUUGAGCCGAUUAUGACUGCACUCAGGGCGGGGCUGAGAGCAUGGUACACCUGUGAAGAUCAGCUGCGGAAUGCAGCCAUGCCCAUCCCUGAAGGCUGCUCCAGUAACAAGUGAGAAGUGUGUCAUAUUACUAUGGAUACAGAGAAAUACACAAAGAUUCAGUGAU
rnacentral:lncRNA from 1 species